UUGAAGAGUUUGAUCAUGGCUCAGAUUGAACGCUGGCGGCAGGCCUAACACAUGCAAGUCGAGCGGUAGCACAGAGAGCUUGCUCUCGGGUGACGAGCGGCGGACGGGUGAGUAAUGUCUGGGAAACUGCCUGAUGGAGGGGGAUAACUACUGGAAACGGUAGCUAAUACCGCAUAAUGUCGCAAGACCAAAGUGGGGGACCUUCGGGCCUCAUGCCAUCAGAUGUGCCCAGAUGGGAUUAGCUAGUAGGUGGGGUAAUGGCUCACCUAGGCGACGAUCCCUAGCUGGUCUGAGAGGAUGACCAGCCACACUGGAACUGAGACACGGUCCAGACUCCUACGGGAGGCAGCAGUGGGGAAUAUUGCACAAUGGGCGCAAGCCUGAUGCAGCCAUGCCGCGUGUGUGAAGAAGGCCUUCGGGUUGUAAAGCACUUUCAGCGGGGAGGAAGGCGUUAAGGUUAAUAACCUUGGCGAUUGACGUUACCCGCAGAAGAAGCACCGGCUAACUCCGUGCCAGCAGCCGCGGUAAUACGGAGGGUGCAAGCGUUAAUCGGAAUUACUGGGCGUAAAGCGCACGCAGGCGGUCUGUCAAGUCGGAUGUGAAAUCCCCGGGCUCAACCUGGGAACUGCAUUCGAAACUGGCAGGCUAGAGUCUUGUAGAGGGGGGUAGAAUUCCAGGUGUAGCGGUGAAAUGCGUAGAGAUCUGGAGGAAUACCGGUGGCGAAGGCGGCCCCCUGGACAAAGACUGACGCUCAGGUGCGAAAGCGUGGGGAGCAAACAGGAUUAGAUACCCUGGUAGUCCACGCCGUAAACGAUGUCGAUUUGGAGGUUGUGCCCUUGAGGCGUGGCUUCCGGAGCUAACGCGUUAAAUCGACCGCCUGGGGAGUACGGCCGCAAGGUUAAAACUCAAAUGAAUUGACGGGGGCCCGCACAAGCGGUGGAGCAUGUGGUUUAAUUCGAUGCAACGCGAAGAACCUUACCUGGUCUUGACAUCCACAGAACUUAGCAGAGAUGCUUUGGUGCCUUCGGGAACUGUGAGACAGGUGCUGCAUGGCUGUCGUCAGCUCGUGUUGUGAAAUGUUGGGUUAAGUCCCGCAACGAGCGCAACCCUUAUCCUUUGUUGCCAGCGGUCCGGCCGGGAACUCAAAGGAGACUGCCAGUGAUAAACUGGAGGAAGGUGGGGAUGACGUCAAGUCAUCAUGGCCCUUACGACCAGGGCUACACACGUGCUACAAUGGCAUAUACAAAGAGAAGCGACCUCGCGAGAGCAAGCGGACCUCAUAAAGUAUGUCGUAGUCCGGAUUGGAGUCUGCAACUCGACUCCAUGAAGUCGGAAUCGCUAGUAAUCGUAGAUCAGAAUGCUACGGUGAAUACGUUCCCGGGCCUUGUACACACCGCCCGUCACACCAUGGGAGUGGGUUGCAAAAGAAGUAGGUAGCUUAACCUUCGGGAGGGCGCUUACCACUUUGUGAUUCAUGACUGGGGUGAAGUCGUAACAAGGUAACCGUAGGGGAACCUGCGGUUGGAUCACCU
rnacentral:rRNA from 1 species